rnacentral:rRNA from 1 species
GACGAACGCUGGCGGCGUGCCUAACACAUGCAAGUCGAACGGGGUUAAUUCCUCCGGGGAUUAACUUAGUGGCGAACGGGUGAGUAACGCGUGAGAAACCUGCCUUUCAGUGGGGGACAACAGUUGGAAACGACUGCUAAUACCGCAUAAUGUAUCGAGGGGGCAUCCCUUUGAUACCAAAGAUUUAUUGCUGAAAGAUGGUCUCGCGUCUGAUUAGCUAGAUGGCGGGGUAACGGCCCACCAUGGCGACGAUCAGUAGCCGGUCUGAGAGGAUGAACGGCCACAUUGGGACUGAGAUACGGCCCAGACUCCUACGGGAGGCAGCAGUGGGGAAUAUUGGGCAAUGGGGGAAACCCUGACCCAGCAACGCCGCGUGAAGGAAGAAGGCCUUCGGUU